CAAGACCGCGAGGUUUAGCAAAUCUCUUAAAGCCGUUCUCAGUUCGGAUUGUAGGCUGCAACUCGCCUACAUGAAGUCGGAAUCGCUAGUAAUCGCGGAUCAGCAUGCCGCGGUGAAUACGUUCCCGGGCCUUGUACACACCGCCCGUCACACCAUGAGAGUUUGUAACACCCAAAGCCGGUGGGGUAACCUUCUGGAGCCAGCCGUCUAAGGUGGGACAGAUGAUUGGGGUGAAGUCGUAACAAGGUAUC
rnacentral:rRNA from 1 species